rnacentral:rRNA from 1 species
UACGGAGGGGACUAGCGUUGUUCGGAAUUACUGGGCGUAAAGCGCACGUAGGCGGAUUUGUAAGUCAGGGGUGAAAUCCUGGAGCUCAACUCCAGAACUGCCUUUGAUACUGGGGAGCUCGAGUCCGGAAGAGGUGAGUGGAACUCCGAGUGUAGAGGUGAAAUUCGUAGAUAUUCGGAAGAACACCAGUGGCGAAGGCGGCUCACUGGUCCGGUACUGACGCUGAGGUGCGAAAGCGUGGGGAGCAAACAGG